rnacentral:rRNA from 1 species
CCUACGGGAGACAGCAGUGAGGAAUAUUGGUCAAUGGGCGGAAGCCUGAACCAGCAAAGUAGCGUGCAGGAUGACGGCCCUACGGGUUGUAAACUGCUUUUAUACGGGAAUAACGCGCCUUACGUGUAGGGCUUUGCAUGUACCGUAUGAAUAAGGACCGGAUAAUUCCGUGCCAGCAGCCGCGGUCAUACGGAAGGUCCGGGCGUUAACCGGAUUUAUUGGGUUUAAAGGGAUCGUAGGCCGCAUGUCAAGCGUGCUGUGAAAUGUCCGGGCUCAACCCGGGCCUUGCAGCGCGAACUGGCUUGCUUGAGUCCGCGGAAAGCAGGCGGAAUUCGUCGUGUAGCGGUGAAAUGCUUAGAUAUGACGAAGAACCCCGAUUGCGAAGGCAGCUUGCUGCAGCGGAACUGACGCUGAUGCUCGAAAGCGCGGGUAUCGAACAGGAUUAGAUACCCCAGUAGUC